rnacentral:lncRNA from 1 species
CCAUGUGAUUCAGUCUCGCUAUCGUGAGGUCCGAUAAGAUGAAGAUUAUGAAAAACUCAUCAAAUUCCAACAUCUAUCAUAUGCAAGAUUCAAUUAGCUUGAGUCUAAAUUAUGAAACUCAUGAAAACUCUUUUCCAUCAAUCAUCUUAUUGUGGCCAUAGACUUAAGGACUCAACUUCUCAAAUCUCAUAGGACUACUUAUCUACUAAAAUCGAA